rnacentral:rRNA from 1 species
AGUUCGAUCCUGGCUCAGAUUGAACGCUGGCGGGAUGCUUUGGCACAUGCAAGUCGAACGGCAGCACGGACUUCGGUCUGGUGGCGAGUGGCGACCGGGUGAGUAAUGUAUCGGAACGUGCCGCAGUAGGGAUAACUACGCGAAAGCAGCUAAUACCACCCUUCGGGAAAGCGGGGACCUUCGGGCCUCGCACUAGAGCGGCCGAUAUCGGAUUAGCUAGUUGGUGGGGGCAACGGCUCACCAAGGCGACGAUCCGGUUUGAGAGGACGACCAGCCACACUGGGACUGAGACAUGGCCCAGACUUACGCCGGUGGGGAGGUGCGUGGGGAAUUUUUGAUACCGGGAAACUCUGAUCCAGCCAUCCCGCGUGCGACAGGCCUUCGGGUUGUAAAGCACUUUUGGCAGGAAAGAAACGGCACGGGAUAAUACCCCGCGCAACUUGAUGGCACCUGCACAAGCACCGGCUAAUCAUGUGCCAGCAGCCGGGCAUGCAGGGCGCGUUAACCUGGGGAAUUGGGCGUAAAGGGUGCGUGGCAGGCGGUUCGGAAAAAGAAAGAUGGAAUCCAGAGCCACUUUUGAACUGCAUUUUUAACUACCGAGCUAGAGUGUGGCUGGGGAGGGAGGUGGAAUUCCGCGUGUGGCAGGAAUGCGCAGAUAUGCGGAGGAACACCGAUGGCGAAGGCAGCCUCCUGGAUAUAACACUGACGCCCAUGCACGAAAGCGUGGGGAGCAAACAGGAUUAGAUACCCUGGCAGAACUACGCCCCAAACGAUGUCAACUAGCUGGGGCCUUCGGCCUGCAGUAGCGCAGCUACGUGAAGUUGACCGCCUGGGGAGUACGGUCGCAAGAUUAAAACUCAAAGGAAUUGACGGGACCCGCACAAGCGGUGGAUGUGGAUUAAUUCGAUGCAACGCGAAAAACUCACUUACCCUGAUGUCUGGAAUCCCGAAGAGAUUUGGGAGUGUUCGGGCAGAAUCCGGAACACAGGUGCUGCACAAUGUCGUCAGCUCGUGUCGUGGAGAUGUUGGGUUAAGUCCCGCAACGAGCGCAACCCUUGUCAUUAGUUGCUACGAAAGGGCACUUAAUGAGACUGCCGGUGACAACCGGAGGAAGGUGGGGAUGACGUCAAGUCCUCAUGGCCCUUGCGGUAGGGCUUCACACGUCAUACAAUGGUCGGGACAGAGGGUCGCCAACCCAAGCAGGGGAGCCAAUCCAGAAACCCGAUCGUAGUCCGGAUCGCAGUCUGCAACUCGGACUGCGUGAAGUCGGAAUCGCUAGUAAUCGCGGAUCAGCAUGUCGCGUGAAUACGCGUUCCCGGCCCUACACCGCCCGUCACACCAUGGGAGUGGGUUUUACCAGGAAGUAGUUAGCCUAACCGUAAGGAGGGCGAUUACCACGGUAGGAUUCAUGACUGGGGUGAAGUCAACAAGGGUAG